GGGUGAGUAACGCGUAGGAAUCUGCCUUAUAGUGGGGGACAACGUGGGGAAACCCACGCUAAUACCGCAUACGCCCUAUGGGGGAAAGCGGGGGAUCGUAAGACCUCGCGCUAUGAGAUGAGCCUGCGUUAGAUUAGCUAGUUGGUAGGGUAAAAGCCUACCAAGGCGACGAUCUAUAGCUGGUCUGAGAGGACGAUCAGCCACACUGGGACUGAGACACGGCCCAGACUCCUACGGGAGGCAGCAGUGGGGAAUAUUGGACAAUGGGCGCAAGCCUGAUCCAGCAAUACCGCGUGUGUGAAGAAGGCCCUAGGGUUGUAAAGCACUUUCAAUGGGGAGGAAAACCUGCCGGUCAAUACCCGGUAGCUUGACAUUACCUAUAGAAGAAGCACCGGCUAACUCCGUGCCAGCAGCCGCGGUAAUACGGAGGGUGCGAGCGUUAAUCGGAAUUACUGGGCGUAAAGCGUGCGUAGGCGGUUCGUUAAGUCAGAUGUGAAAGCCCUGGGCUCAACCUGGGAACUGCAUUUGAAACUGGCGGACUAGAGUUUAGUAGAGGGGAGUGGAAUUUCAGGUGUAGCGGUGAAAUGCGUAGAUAUCUGAAGGAACACCAGUGGCGAAGGCGACUCCCUGGACUAGAACUGACGCUGAGGUACGAAAGCGUGGGUAGCAAACAGGAUUAGAUACCCUGGUAGUCCACGCCGUAAACAAUGUCAACUAGCCGUUGGUCCUAUAUACAGGAUUAGUGGCGCAGCUAACGCAUUAAGUUGACCGCCUGGGGAGUACGGCCGCAAGGUUAAAACUCAAAUGAAUUGACGGGGGCCCGCACAAGCGGUGGAGCAUGUGGUUUAAUUCGAUGCAACGCGAAGAACCUUACCUGGUCUUGACAUGCACGUAGUAGAAGCCUGAAAGGGUAACGAGGUAGCAAUACCAGCGUGCACAGGUGCUGCAUGGCUGUCGUCAGCUCGUGUCGUGAGAUGUUGGGUUAAGUCCCGCAACGAGCGCAACCCCUACGUCCUGUUGCCACCCGAUCGUAAGAUUGGAGCACUCUGGACGGACUGCCUCGCUUCUACGAGGAGGAAGGUGGGGAUGACGUCAAGUCAGUAUGGCCCUUACGACCAGGGCUGCACACGUACUACAAUGCCCGGCACAAAGGGGAGCCAACCGGCAACGGUGAGCAAAUCCUAAAAACCGGGCCCAGUUCAGAUUGUCGUCUGCAAUUCGACGGCAUGAAGCUGGAAUCGCUAGUAAUGGCGCAUCAGCUACGGCGCCGUGAAUACGUUCCCAGGCCUUGUACACACCGCCCGUCACAUCAUGAAAGCCGUUUGUACCCAAAGCCGCCAAGCUAACCGCAAGGAAGCAGGCGCCU
rnacentral:rRNA from 1 species